rnacentral:lncRNA from 1 species
GGAGAGGCUGACAGAUUUCAGGCUCUCUGGGAGGAGUGAGAACUGGUAUCUGUCGGGGAACCUCUGCUUCUUAACGAUUUGAUGCAAUCCCACUUUGUUUAUUCUUUUGUUAAUCCCUUACCUUUGUUUUCCGCCCUGAAUUCCUCUCCAUGAACUCUCCUCCUGCUUGGCUGUGAGAAGGACACUAAGUAGAUCCGGUGUUGUCGCCUAAAGCAGACAGUUUCUGUGCUCUGUGUUACAGUGGUGACUGAAGCCUCAACCAGCUGUCCCAGUGAGCAGUUGGGGUCCCAGUUCCUGCAGAAAGCAAUUCCAGAGGCCACAGCAGAGAAUUCAUCCUCAGGCAUCCCCUCAGGGCAAGGAGAGAGCCAGCCCUGGGCAGAAGUAGGGGAGUUCCAAAUCCCUGCAAGCUCCAGUGUGGAGCCACUUCUCCACAGUGCAAAGGUAUUGUUUCAUUGUUCACACCCUCUGUCUGGACCCUCCCUGCAGGAAAAAAUCCCAGGGCCACCCCAAGUACAGCCUGAGCAAUACACUCACAAACAUGACUGUUUUCUGGAAAAAGAAAGGGAGAUGUGAUAUGCUGCCCUCUGCUUCAGCCAGAGCAAAGUUCCAGGAACUGCACUCUGGCAUCCCCAUCCUUUCAAGUGUCUGUGUAGAAGGGCUGCUGGUGGUGAACCGCUGAAGGAAAAUGGAGAAAACCACC